AUUGAACGCUGGCGGCAUGCCUUACACAUGCAAGUCGAACGGCAGCACGGGAGCAAUCCUGGUGGCGAGUGGCGAACGGGUGAGUAAUGUAUCGGAACGUGCCCAGUCAUGGGGGAUAACGCAGCGAAAGCUGUGCUAAUACCGCAUACGAUCUAUGGAUGAAAGCGGGGGACCGUAAGGCCUCGCGCGAUUGGAGCGGCCGAUAUCAGAUUAGGUAGUUGGUGGGGUAAAGGCCCACCAAGCCGACGAUCUGUAGCUGGUCUGAGAGGACGAACAGCCACACUGGAACUGAGACACGGUCCAGACUCCUACGGGAGGCAGCAGUGGGGAAUUUUGGACAAUGGGCGCAAGCCUGAUCCAGCAAUGCCGCGUGCAGGAUGAAGGCCUUCGGGUUGUAAACUGCUUUUGUACGGAACGAAACGCUCCUUUCUAAUACAAGGGGGUAAUGACGGUACCUACAGAAUAAGCUCCGGCUAACUUCGUGCCAGCCGCCGCAGUAA
rnacentral:rRNA from 1 species